AUGUUCCUAGGGACGCAGCAGUGGGGAAUAUUGCACAAUGGGGGAAACCCUGAUGCAGCGACGCCGCGUGAGUGAAGAAGUAAUUCGUUACGUAAAGCUCUAUCAGCAGGGAAGAAAUACUGACCUUACGGUCAGCAGACGGUACCUGAGUAAGAAGCCCCGGCUAACUACGUGCCAGCAGCCGCGGUAAUACGUAGGGGGCAAGCGUUAUCCGGAUUUACUGGGUGUAAAGGGAGCGUAGACGGUGCGCCAAGUCUGGAGUGAAAUGCCGCAGCUUAACGGCGGAACUGCUUUGGAAACUGGCG
rnacentral:rRNA from 1 species